AGUGUUUUGACGACUGCCUCACUAAAGGAAGCUAAAAGCUGUGCUGAUGCCUCCCAGACGAGCCUCGUUGGAAGCACAGAACCUUCACGGCUCGGAGCCGCUGACACCGUGACAAAGGGAGCCCUGCUCAGGAGAAAGAGCAAAUGAGAGGCAGUUGCACUUUUUCAGGUGUCAGGCUGGAGGAAGCCACUUGAAGAUGAAUCUACCUCUGCCUUAGGAUUGCCUGAUGGCCUGUGCCAUUCCAUGUUAUAUCUACUGAUUUGCUCCCUGUAUUCAAAGAUUUUUUUUUUUUACUUAAUUCUCUCUUACUGACCCUGAGAGUGACCAUAUUUUUAACCAAUUUGGUCUUCAGCCUCAAAACUUAGCUCUUUCCUUUUGUGGUCCCCGAAUCCUAUCACGUGUCAUGGUGGCUGUGAAGAUGUUUGCCAAGCCUGCUGAGAAGGCUCAUCUGUGGCAUCCAAAAGCAGAGAUUUCAACUCUGGACCCCUGUGACCUGCCUUUGUAAUUAUGGAUACCCAGCACUGUUUUGAAAUAUCAGUGGACAUCCAGUUUUUAAAAGCCCUCAGAGCUUUGGGAGACACCCCUUUAUCUCUCUGGCAUGUCAGAGAACCGAUUCAACCCUUCUCAUCUCCUCCUCCUUCCCUCUCUUGGGCCAUCAGGAUGCGGCAGCAACUCACUGUGCAUGUUUUUACAGCUCUUCUCCAGUAAUGCUGCCAUUUCCACUGCAGACCACAGGAUAAAAGGACCGCUUCACCGUGGCCCAGGAUACCCUUUUAAGUAGGAGAGGGAGAAGAAAGUACUGCUUUGAUCUAAAAUUAAGCAAACGUUCUUCAAUAAACCCACCAUGAGACUUGACCACUAAUGGUGACCAGCAGUGGCUUUGUCAUGGCCCUGCCCACUGGGGGCAGGCACAUGCCGGGGCCAGGGCAGGCUGCCAGCUGAGAGGAUUAUUGGCAACUGGCACCACCCCCAUGUCUGGAGGAGGGACGUUUCUAGGAUGACCCCCAGAGUGGAGAAAUAGCCGAGUGCUUUGGAGUCUUCUCAGAUGUGGACGAAAACAGUUCGUGAGCUGCGCUGAGCAGUUCCGGAGCCCUGGCUCCCUUUCCCCGGGGCCUAAGCCCCCAAGAAGAGAGUCUUUUUCAGGACCAUGGGAGCAGGUUUUAAAAGGCUUUCUAUUGAAGCGAGGCCGUCAGCCAGCCGUGCGUGUCCGCAUUGUGGUGGUCCCAGAGCCUUAUGGACAAUCCUUUGAAAGAAUAGGGUUGGGAAGAUUCUCAGGACAGAAGCGGCUAAUUUCCAUCCUUGGAGCUUUAUCUCACAAAGGAUAUUUGAUAGAAAGAAAAAAUGGAGUCUGUGGAAGCUUUGCUCCUAUUUCCAAAUGGGUUGACUCUGGAUGCAAAGGAAUAUUUUCACAUUUUUCCCAAUAGAGGAAAGCUUUUAGUGCCAAAAUCCUCAAAGGAGAAUGAACAUCACACAUUACACAUGUAUGUAUAAGGGUAGAAUAAUAUGGUACAAAAUCCAGUGAGUACAAGCACACAAUGGGCAUUCAGUACAGGUUAAAUGAAUAUGCAAGAAAAAUUCAAAGUUGUUGUUGCUGUUUAUAAGGGUGGUGAUUAUUAAUAGAUGCAAAUGUAUACUCCCUUUUGUAAUCACAGCAAGGUAAAAGUCUUAUCUCUGAUCAUUACCAUGAGGACACUUAAAUAUUUAGCCCUGGGGACAAAAUGGUUUGUAGGCAGGACGUCCUGUGUGUUUAUGCACACAUAAAAUGCCGCCCUGGCCCCAGGACUGCAAGGCCUCUGACUGCAUCAUUUACAUUCAGGGGUGGUCCUGAUCAACAUGGCCCCAUAGAAUAAUAGAGGGAAUUUCAGAUAGUACAGCGUUAGAUAAUAAGCGCUUUCCACUGACUCUGUUUACAUGUGGAAAUUAGAAGCGCUGAGUGAAAAAGAGUAGUGAAAAUAAAGACAGGAAGUAUAUACACAACAAACAAUUUUUCCUCUCUGCAAAUCGGAUUAUUCCCUUGCGCACCCCCUGCAACCCCCAUCUAUGAUGUCAAACUCAAUGGACUGUUGAACUAAUAGCCUGGGAGUCACCAGCGUGAGAGUGUGUAUGUCCACGCUGUGCAACUUGAAUUAGGCUGGCCACCACGGCUGUGUACAGCUACCCCAGGAAGAGCCCCUCCCCUCCUCAGCAUUUCAGUGGAAAACGUGCUGACUGGGACCCAGCUACAGGAAUCACAUUUGGGCAGAGAGAAUGGCUUAUCCUUUUCAUGAGGGGUCUUGACUCAAGAACACUUGCCAAUUCUGCUUGACCGUUUCCCAUUCUUUACGGUUUUUCCUAUCACUCCUUAGACUAAGAAAGAAAAAUCUGUAGGAAUGAUUCGGUGGGAUUUCUCUUUUGUUCCUAAAUAAACCUUAUCCCUGGAUGAGCUCGUUCACACUAGGGAAGUUACUACCACUGGCUUUGAAGCCAGGCAGAUCUGGGUGUUCCUUCCCAUGUCUUUAUUUGCUUUGUGGGGGAUCUUUUCCCAGCCUUUCUGCUUUCAUCCUUCUUAGUGAGAGCUUCUUCAGCUGCAGAACAGGGGCAAUAAUGCCUACCUUGCUGGGUUGCAGCAGAGAAUGCUGCUUAUGCAGGAAAAUAAAAAAACACAUAGCACACAAUGGGAGCUUAAUACAUAAGAAUUAUAAACAGUCUUUUGUGUAUAUAUCAAUGUAUUUCAUGUCCUUAAUGUUUAUUUAAAGCAAGUACAUUCUUUUGAAUUAAGCAUAAAAAGGUCAUAAAAUGCCAGAGAUGUGCUUAUUUGAAAUGUUUGCAAUGCUUUGCAAUUGUUUUAAAAUAAGGAGAUGAUAUAACAGGGUGUUACCUCCGCCACUAAUUAGUUACGUAAUCUUAGAUUAUGUCACUUCCCUGGGUCUCAGUUGUAAACAGUUGCUUAAUAAAUAAUGUUUGUUUUGC
rnacentral:lncRNA from 1 species